rnacentral:rRNA from 1 species
GCUCAGAAACUUAAAGGAAGUUGACGGGGCCCGCACAAGCGGUGGAGUAUGUGGUUUAAUUCGAUGCAACGCGAAGAACCUUACCUGGUCUUGACAUCCCGGAGACCCUUAGGAAACUAGGGGUGCUUCCAUCUGGAAGAAUCUGGAGACAGGUGCUGCAUGGCUGUCGUCAGCUCGUGUCGUGAGAUGUUGGGUUAAGUCCCGCAACGAGCGCAACCCUUGCCUUUAGUUGCCAGCAGUUCGGCUGGGCACUCUAAAGGGACUGCCGGUGUUAAACCGGAGGAAGGUGGGGAUGACGUCAAGUCCUCAUGGCCUUUAUGACCAGGGCUACACACGUACUACAAUGGCCGAUACAAAGGGCAGCGACACUGCGAGGUGAAGCCAAUCCCGUAAAAUCGGUCUCAGUCCGGAUUGGAGUCUGCAACUCGACUCCAUGAAGUUGGAAUCGCUAGUAAUCGUGGAUCAGCAUGCCACGGUGAAUACGUUCCCGGGCCUU